GGGAGCUCCCGACUGGAACCUUUUACUUCUUUAAUUUGACGAUAGUCUAUUACUAAACGUUAUCCUUUCUCCGUUAAAUCCGGGAUCGGAAAAUCAAUUUCUACGAUAUGGAAAUUAUGAGGCAUAAUGAAGUUAGAAGUUCGCAUUUCGAGGAUCGCUAACCCUAAUGAGCUUAUUGAACCUGUAAUUUGCGUUAUAUUAUCAUGAUCAACAUUUAAAAAUUGAUCAGAAUGCUUUUUACGAUUAAAUUAAGAUUAAUGGUGUGAA